rnacentral:ncRNA from 1 species
CUGUGGAAAGCCUCAGCUGCGCGCGUCUGAGGGCUUCGUGCCAAAGUGCUAUGCUCGGCCGGCAAAAAACAGUCAACUCAGAACUGGCACGAACCGGGGGAAUCCGACUGUCUAAUUAAAACAAAGCAUUGCGAUGGCCGCUGGUCGGUGUUGACGCAAUGUGAUUUCUGCCCAGUGCUCUGAAUGUCAACGUGAAGAGAUUCAUCAAAGCGCGGGUAAACGGCGGGAGUAACUAUGACUCUCUUGCUGCAGAGUACAACGCUGCAAUCUCCACACAUAGAGUGAAGGCCCGUUGGAGCACGGAGGAGAACACUCUGCUAGCAGAACUGGAAGCACACCUCACUGUUACUGAGAACCCUAGAUUCAUGAACGAGGCACUGGCUGCCAUACACAAGUCGCGAACACAAGACUCCAUUAGAUCUCAUAGAAAAGGCACGGGCUACCGUGCCCUAGUGGAGUCCUUCAUAGAAAAAGGGGCGACGACUCGACCAUCGCUGCUGAGACGCCACAUAGGAACCAUAGAAACGAAUGAAACUCUGUCGUCGUCAGAGCCACCACGUCCUGUUGGUGAGAGAACACUUAGACCACGACGGCAGCCGGUGGUGCCGGCUACAAUAUUCGAGGAGGAUUCUGACACACAGGAGGAUAUCGCGGUUCAGGAAGCAGAAGUGGUGGCUGGCGCGGGAGUACAGGAAGCGGAGUCAAGGUCCGUGAUAUGUAGAGAGCUCGCCGCACUGACUAACCGUCCCGCCCCACGUUCCCACAAUGCCCUAAGAUUGUGGGAGAUCGCGAAGGUAGUGUGCUCCGGGGGCGAAGCAUCUUCGAUGCUAAACGAUUACAUCAGAGAGUGUCUUCGUAAACACGCCGCCGCAACGAGGUCGCA